rnacentral:rRNA from 1 species
CCUACGGGAGGCAGCAGUGAGGAAUAUUGGUCAAUGGGCGUAAGCCUGAACCAGCCAAGUCGCGUGAGGGAUGAAGGUUCUAUGGAUCGUAAACCUCUUUUAUAAGGGAGUAAAGUGUGGGACGUGUCCUAUUUGGUAUGUACCUUAUGAAUAAGGAUCGGCUAACUCCGUGCCAGCAGCCGCGGUAAUACGGAGGAACCGAGCGUUAUCCGGAUUUAUUGGGUUUAAAGGGUGCGUAGGCGGCCUUUUAAGUCAGCGGGGAAAGUCUGUGGCUCAACCCUAGAAUUGCCUUGGAAACUGGGGGGCUUGAGUAUGUUAGAGGCAGGCGGAAUGCGUGGUGUAGCGGUGAAAUGCGUAGAUAUCACGCAGAACCCCGAUGGCGAAGGCAGCCUGCCAGGCCAUGACUGACGCUGAUGCACGAAAGCGUGGGGAUCAAACAGGAUUAGAUACCCCAGUAGUC